GUAAAAAAACAUCUCCUAUUCCUCCCAUUCCGAGUCCUCUUUAAAUAGGGCUAAUCCCUAUGUCCAUUGGUGGUUCCGUGCGUGGUGUCCAUUAUCCAUCACUUGAUUGGUUCCGUGGGGGAGCUGUUCAGCUGUUUCCCAUCUUUCUCGCAUUGCUGUAAUCAAAAUUGGAUAACCGGAACCGGAAGUAAGGGUUGUACCGCACUUCCGCGUUCCACUUGCGUUCCACAUGCGUUCCACCGGCGACUCAUAUGCGUUCCACCUUCGUUCCACUUCAACAUUG